rnacentral:tRNA from 1 species
GGGUUUGUGGCUCAGUGGAAGAGCGCUUGCCUAGCAUGUAUGAGGCCCUGGAUUCGAUCCUCAGCCCCA